GACGAACGCUGGCGGCGUGCCUAAUACAUGCAAGUAGGACGCAGUUGCGAACGGGUGAGUAACGCGUAGGUAACUACCUAUUAGAGGGGGAUAACUAUUGGAAACGAUAGCUAAUACCGCAUACUAGUAGAUGGACCUGCGUUGUAUUAGCUAGUAGGUAGGGUAAUGGCCUACCUAGGCAACGGUACAUAGCCGACUUGAUGGGGGGAUCCGCCAAACUGGGACUGAGGAACGGGCCAGAAGCCUAAGGGAGGCAGCAGUAGGGAAUCUUCGGCAAUGGGGGGAACCCUGACCGAGCAACGCCGCGUGAGUGAAGAAGGGUUUCGGAGCGUAAAGCUCUGUUGUUAAGGAAGCGGUACUUAACCAGAAAGGGACGGCUAACUACGUGCCAGCAGCCGCGGUAAUAC
rnacentral:rRNA from 1 species